rnacentral:rRNA from 1 species
GCCAGAGGACGGGUCCGCGUCCCAUCAGCUAGUUGGUGAGGUAAUGGCUCACCAAGGCGAAGACGGGUAGCUGGUCUGAGAGGAUGAUCAGCCACACUGGAACUGAGACACGGUCCAGACUCCUACGGGAGGCAGCAGUGGGGAAUAUUGCGCAAUGGGCGAAAGCCUGACGCAGCCACGCCGCGUGAGCGAUGAAGGUCUUCGGAUCGUAAAGCUCUGUGGGGGGAGAAGAAGAAAGUCGGUGAAGAGCCGGCCCUGACGGUAUCCCCUUAGCAAGCACCGGCUAACUCCGUGCCAGCAGCCGCGGUAAUACGGAGGGUGCAAACGUUGCUCGGAAUCAUUGGGCGUAAAGCGCGCGUAGGCGGCUGAACAAGUUGGAUGUGAAAGCCCUGGGCUCAACCUAGGAUGUGCAUUCAAAACUGUUCGGCUUGAGUCUCGGAGGGGGUCAGAGAAUUCUCGGUGUAGAGGUGAAAUUCGUAGAUAUCGGGAG